rnacentral:lncRNA from 1 species
UUUUUUUUUGAAUGCCCCAGUUGGCUGUUCUGCUGAUUCUCGAGAUGCAGCUGAGUGAUCUUCUUCUCUUGCUCAAGAAGUCGGGAAAUCUCGUCAGGAAUCCCUUCAACAUCAUCUUCGUCCACUUCGAAUACAGGGAAUUCAAAAUUGGGAGAUGACGUCCGAUCACCAUGUUCAAUGGGUUUGAGAAACAACCUGCAUAAUGAUUUGAUAUGAAAAGCUCUUUGAAAAUCAAACAAGACAAUCGUUAUGCAGAUGAAAAG